rnacentral:rRNA from 1 species
UACAGGGGGUGCAAACGUUGCUCGGAAUUAUUGGGCGUAAAGCGCGCGUAGGCGGCCGCUUAAGUCUGAUGUGAAAGCCCUGGGCUCAACCUGGGAAUGGCAUUGGAAACUGGCGACCUAGAGUGCGGUAGAGGGCAGUGGAAUUCCCGGUGUAGCAGUGAAAUGCGUAGAGAUCGGGAGGAACAUCUGUGGCGAAGGCGACUGCCUGGACCAGCACUGACACUGAGGCACGAAGGCGUGGGGAGCAAACAGG